UCUUUUUUUUUUUUUUUUCGCUCAGAACAUCAAUCUGAAAGCUAAUUUUACUAUCCUUUCUUCUGUGUUAAAGGGGUUACCAGGGCAAGAUGGGCCACCAGGACCCCCAGGUAUCCCAGGAUGCAAUGGAACAAAGGGAGAACAUGGAUUCCCAGGAAGUCCAGGUUUUCCAGGUUUACAAGGCCCUCCUGGACCCCCUGGCUUUCCAGGUAUGAAGGGUGAACCUGGUGAAAUAAUUAUGUCCUCGCUUCCAGGACAGAAAGGUGACCCAGGAUUCCCAGGUCUUCCGGGGAUACCAGGUCCACCUGGUCCCAUUGGUACGUCAGGCCCGAUUGGUCCUCCUGGGCCACCAGGUUUGACGGUAAGUUUCCUUAGCUUGUCAGAAUUCUGUUGCUCAGCUCAGGGGAGAUUUCUCUGUGCUCAGACCUCUGAUUAGAGG
rnacentral:lncRNA from 1 species